rnacentral:lncRNA from 1 species
AUCCCGCACCGGGAUUCGGUGUGUCUCCGGUGACGUACUUCUCUCCGAAAAACUGUUUGGGGGUUUUCGAAUUGGUGACCAUCUGGCGGUACAUGAGGUCGAGGUUAAGUUGUAUGAGCUCUGUAUCCGUGGUUUCUGCUGGGGUACCGAAGUUAAGGUCGACGAUAGUAGAUCCACGAUGCUCUUGGUUCCUAAUAGGGUCGUAGAGCGACGAGGUCGGGUCGUCGAAUAUCGCCGGCAGCGUCAUGCCUGCAGGGUCAUCAUAGUUCCAGAACGGCAUCACGAAAUCUUCAUCGUCGAUCAACUUUCCAAGAAUCUUCUCGUAGAAGUAGAGGUACCAGCGGUGGAAGGGAAAGAACAGCCAUCCAUUAUGAAUUUGCAGUGGUUGUUCGGGAAUUACUCCCACCUGUUCAUGCAGUCAGUCCUUAGUCAGCCAUGCUCAUGCAUGCACCGACGUAAAAUUAAAAUCUACAAUUUUGUAAAUAAAUAAGCACUCGCCUGAUCAUACGCGUUGUUACAGUAGGCGCAGUGAACCAUGGCCUGUUGGUAGAAGCUACGGGGAUCUUCCUUGUCCAGAGCUCGCAUCCUCUUGGUGGCUUCUUUAUACUUAGCGAUCUGAUCAUUAGUCAUGUUCUGAACGGCGGGACGCACACGGAUCCGACUGGGAGUGGAAGGGAAGAAGUCGACGAUCUUAUCACUGUACGGUGGACAGCAAGUGGGUUCGAUCGUGACAAUAUUUCCAUCAGGAUCGGCGACCGUAGAUUUUUUACACGUGGACAGAUCCGGAGAUUCUAUAGGUGCAGCGAUGGUUUGUCCGGGCAUGAUGAGACCGCUACUGGCCGCACUAUAGAGUCCACCGAGACCGAUGAGCAUGUCCCGGCGGUCGAUGGACGCAUUGCAGACGACGGUGCGGGUUUUCCUGGUGGAAAAUCUAGAAGGGGAUGCAGAAGAGAAUGAGGGACGUGGAAGUUUAAUAAGCUGGGGAGAGCAAAUCGGAAUGGUCGCCAUGGUUGGUGUUGGUUUUCCGAUGGUGAUGGAGCUUAUUUAUAAAUAACAUCAGUCAAGUUCUGAGUUAUCCUCAUCAUCGUAGACUCAUAGGGUCACCAUACCCGCCCUCGUACUCGGCCCGUCCCCGAUCAUUUGACCUGGUGACAGGGGUAUUUUUAUAACCGAGCGGGUAUUUUCUCGAUUAUACCCGUUAUUAACCGAAUACUGUCCAGUCUGGAAAGGUGUACCUACCGGAAUAAUUUUUUUUUUUUUUUGAAAAGCCAUGUAAAACACGGUGGUAGGUGGGAAUUUCUGAGUUGUUUUAUUAAUAAUUAACGUUGCAGACCUGCUGCGAGAUCUUAAAUUUGUUGGCAAGAUCUCAAUUUCCGUGAUUAAACAGUUUGAACUGAAUUAUUUAUUUUCCUUUAGUGACUCGUUUUCGAUUUUCGCAUAAAUUUAGACCCUAAUUAGUAAAAAAAUCAAACAUAUCUUAGUGAGACAAAUUUUAUGCAUCAUUAGCAGUCUAACACUAUCCAUUUUUAUUAUUGUUGUUAGAUGUUGUUAGACAUUCAAUUAUUAACUUAGGAGUCUAAUUGAUUUGAGUAUUUUUAAUCUAAUUAAUUGAUUUGGGUUUAUUGUAAAUGAAAAUUAUAUUUCGGGUUAAAAUGAAAAAAAAUUAUGAUAAGUUGGAAUAUUUUUAAAGAUAACGAUUCUAGUGAGAACCGGAUAUGUGAGAACUCUGUGAGAAUCAGAUCAGAACCGUUGAAAUAUCUAUAUGGGGAUUUUCACCCCUAAAUGAUUUAAAUAAUAAACUAUAUAAAUCACCAUUAUAUCUAGAUGUAAAAGUCAAGAUGCAAAGUUCUUAAAUAGUUCUUAUUUUUAUGGUUUUCAAUAGAAGCUGACUCUAUUUUUAGGUAUCUUAUAAAAAUACAAAAAUAUUCAUUCAAACUUUAUAGUUAGGGGUGUAAAUGGGUCGAGUCUGGGUUGGUUGGCUUAGAUCCAGACUCGUGAAGUUGGUGCGGAUCCGGAUCUGAGUUAAGUCCAGAAAAAAUAUAUCUAAACUCGGACCCCGCACAGACCCAUAAAAAGUCUAGGUCUGGAUCGGGUUUGGGUCUAAAUAGGGAUUUUUUUAUCUACAAUAAAUCAAUAAUUAUACAAAAAUAUUUAAUAAAAAAUUUAGUAAAAUUCUAAAACACAAAAUAAAAAUAUCAUUCUAAGUCUAUGAUAUUUAACAACUAACAAAAAGGUUAAAUAUCAUUUGGAGGUGCAUCAUUUUUAUUUGGAGGUAGAGGAUCUUUGGGGAGAUACUUCUUAACAUUUCACAAUAAAAAAAAUAAAACCCUAAGGUUGAUUAAAUCCUAAGAUUGAAAUUUAUAUAAUGUCAUUUAAAUUUUUUUAUAUAUUUAUAUUUAAACUCUAAAGUUAAAGAUUAUAUAGGUUAAGGAAAUAUAAUAGGUAUUUUUAUAAUUAAAAUUUUAAACUAUACUAAAUUACUAAUAUAUUAUAAAUAUUUAUAAUAUACUGGUUCGACUGGGUCUGGUUAAUCUGGACCCGAACUACUAAAUGAUCAGGUAUGGACAUGAAUCCAGACCUCCGGGUCCAAAACAUUUAAUGAGACUAAAAUCAACCCUAGACCCGACCGACCGGGUCCGGGUCCAGACCCAUUUCCCCAACUUCGGAUUGUACUUUUAUUUCCCCUAGCUUUGUUCUUCACGGGUUGUUCCAACCAUACAGAUGCAACUCCCUUAAAUCGCAGAACCACUAAUUUAACCUUCCUCUCCUCCUCAAUGGUCAUAUAAUCGAAGAACUUCUCGACUUCAGUCAUCCAGUCGAUGAAGUCUUCUAUAUGCAUUGAUCCAUUAAAGGACGGGAUGUCCAUUUUUAAUUUAAACUCGGACUGUCCUCGAUGGUGGUAACCCCUGUUUUGGAAGUGCGGAUCAAUGCAUGCCUUCCCUAUUUUCUUCAAAUGUCUGGAAUGGUGGUUGCAUUCUCCUCUGAUAAGGUCGAUCAUGCAGGAGUGACCUCUCCUAACAGAUCAGUAAACUGGUCCAGCGCGUUGGUGUACCGGCGCUGAUAAUUACCUACCGGCGGAUCAGGAUUCCGACGCCGGAAAUUCUGCAGUGGGACGUCCGGUGAACGUCGCACAUCCUGGUUUUCAGUGAAGGCGUCAUAGGGACGCCUCUGGUAAGUGUGGACAAGUCCAUCUGGAUUUGGUGGCUCUGGCGGAGCUGGUGGGACAACGUGAGAAGCUACCUCCCUCCGUAGAUCUUGGAAGCCUUCUCUCAUGGCGAUGGCAAUUAAGAUCGGUGAUGGCUUUGUUCACCAUCUCCCACUCUUGUCGUGAUACAUGAUCAACCAUCAAUAGCAAUGACUCUGAUACCAGUUGAUGUAGAAUUGAAUGUCAAUCAAGGUAAUAAGGUUGAGAAUACAUAUUCUCAAUCGAGAAUAGUAGUAUAAGUGUAGAUCUUGGACUCCACAAAAGAAGUUCAGGGAAGAAUAAUGCUAGAUCAAGAAGGAGUGACAAAGGAAAUUAAGAGAAAAGCAAGAAGAAACAGUAGACGAUAAAGUAGAUCAAGAAGGGAGGUGAAUAAUAUCUUGAGAAAUAAAUAAAUCAAAAAGCAACCUUUCCAAGUGAGGUUCACCAUAUUUAGACUCACAUUAUGGGUGAUGGACAACCCUCAUGAUGUUGUGAGGCCCAACCUUGGUUAGGCCCACUACAAAUCCUUUGUAAGAUGCUUAUUCCAAUGUGCAUUGAGGUUACUAUUGACUAAAUGCUAACUCUAACCCUAACUCUACAUCAAUGAUAAGUAUACCAAUAACUACUACACAGACAGAAAACCAAAUCAUAGAAGGGUAUAGACCAAAAUAGCUUUAAUAAUACUUGAAUCUUACAGUAAAUAGAGAUAUCUGCAGGUUAGAUGGAUAAAAUAUAAAAAAGAGCUAGUAUGAGAAGUGAAACCUGGGGAGAGCUCAUCAAUCCAGACUGUGAGAAUAGAUUAUCUCGUGCAUUCCCAACAUUCAAUCCAGACAAUGAUUGGUGAUACUCUUCCACUAUUGCUACUGCCUCAGAGUAAACUGCCUGAAAAUGGAAACAAAAACUUGAAAAAUAUUCUAACAGAGAAAACACAAAAUCUCCAUUGCAAGACUUCCAAAAGCUUAUUUUUUGCACUCACUAAAAGAAGAAGAAAGGUAAUUGAUUGUAUAGGAGAUUCUCAGAGGUUUUCUCCUAUAUAUCUUUGGUGAGUUUUUCAUGUUAUUGUUCUAUCGAUGAUAGAACAAACAGAAAGUCUGAUUUGUGUUUUCUGUCAAUCACAGAAAACUCUAUAUAUCCACAAAUCAAUAUUUUAGUUUGUUGAUCUCUCACUGACAACCUUGGCCUAGCUACAGAAUAGAUGAGAAGAUAAGGAGUAAAACAAAACAAAAAAAAUGUCAACAUUCAAACUUACUAUGGCCUCCAAGUACCUUGUCCGAUCUCUCCACAUCUCCUCCUUGGCCUAAAAUUUAAAAAAAAAAUUACAAAAGAUUAAAUGAUAAAAUACCCAAUACAUGUAGCAAACAGAGAAAGAUGGUAACAUGUUAAGUAAUGGAAGAAAAAAACAAUACAAACAUUUAUUUAGUAAAUGAGAAAUGAAGAUGAAGCAUGAAAAUUCAAAGUUAUUUAAUUUUAUUUAUUUGGUCCUCCAAGGAAAAGUAGUAGUAGCCAUGCAGUAGGUACUAGGUAGAGUACGAUCCAUGAACUUGGAUUCUUCUAAUAAUCAUCGUCGGUCAAGAGAUGCCUCCGAUCUUAACCCGUCCUAUCCAGGGAACCAAUGUGAUAAUAAUAUCGUCAUCGGCCUCGAUGUCGUCAAGAAGAUCGGUAAGUCCCAAAGUCAGACAGGUUUUGCCGGUACUAGCCUUACUAUGAGGCACGUUGACAAAACUUCCAGAAAACUCCGACGUCCCAGGUUUAGCAUAGUUAUCAGGUGAAUUGACGUUAACGUCAAAUUUCACAAAAUCACCAAAGUUCAACUGGAUUCCUUCGAUGACCACUAUUUCCUCCGCAGUUUCCUUCUCGGCCUUGCUUCUAUUCUUGAUCGACCUCUUGACCAGCACACUUGUCCGUGAUUUCAGAUCCAGUGGGAAUUUCACUCUACUUGGCCUCCUCAUCCACCUUCCCCUUCCUCUUCCUCUUCCGAAAGACGGCGUGGGUUUCUUGUCCAUCCAUGCAAUCGGCACGCUUUCGAAUCUGUAACCCAGCAACGAUUCGUCGAGGCCAUCUUUGACCUUGACCCUGACCAGUUGAGCGUUCUCGUCGUAGAACAAGAAGCUCGCCUCCCGAAAGUCCGGACUUCUCGGAUCAUGAUUUCGUUGAGAUAAGCCUCUCCAGAUAUUCCACAGACGAUUAAUGUUCACGUGAUGACAGUAGAGAAGAGGGUCUCUUCCCGAUGAGUAGAAAUUACCCAUAUCCUCUCCAAGCGGUGUUUCUGGGGAUUUCUCUCUUCCGACCCAAACAUGAAUAGGCGAAUGCGGCAUAAACUCUAUGGUUCCCGCACCGGGAUUCGGUGGGUCUCCGAAAAACUGUAUGGGGAUUUUCGCAUUGGUGAUCAUCUGUUUGCGCAUGAGGUCGAGGUUAAGUUGAAUGAGCUCUGAAUCCGUGACGUCUAUUUUGGCACCCCAGCUAAGGUCGACGAUAGUAGAUCCACGAUGCUCUUGGUUCCUAAUAGGGUCGAAGAGCGGCGAGGUCGGGUCGUCGAAAAUCUUCAUAGUUCCAGAACGGCAUCACGAAAUCUUCAUCGUCGAUCAACUUUCCAAGAAUCUUCUCGUAGAAGUAGAGGUACCAGCGGUGGAAGGGUAAGAACAGCCAUGA